ensembl:snRNA U6 U6 spliceosomal RNA
GUGCUUGCUUCAGCAGCAUAUAUACUAAAAUUGAAAUGCUACAGAGAAGAUUAGCAUGGCCUUUGUACAAGGAUGGCAUGCAUAGUUUUGAAAAUAAAAAAGUAUUU